AGGCGAUGGACGGUUGAAAGGAUGAAUCAUCAAGACGAACAAGACGAGCCAAACAUUGGCGACGAGCCACCACAGGAGCCUGAAGGAAAAGUAAUGAGAGCAGCCAGGAGCUGAAAGUGUGGGCAGAGUAACAGGAUGCUGGGGACGAAUUUGAAGACGGUUCCCUGAGCUGAAUCCCGAAUUCCUGUAUUCGAGUUUUGUGGACUGACAGUGUGUAUGCUUGGUGCUCAGCCCAGGACAGAAGUGACACCUGGUCCAACAAGGUGAUGGACGGUUGAAAGGACGAAUCAUCAAGAGGAGUCAAACAAUGGAGAUGAGCCGCCACUGGAGCCCGAAAGGAAAGUAAUGAGAGCAGUCAGGAGCUGCAAGUGGUGGCAGAGGAAUGGGCUGAUGAGGACGAGUUGGACGACAGCUUCCUGAACUGAAUCCUUAUUUCCUGUAAUCAAGUUUUGUGGACUGACAUGUUGUCUGGUUGGUGCUCGGGCCAGGAGAGCAAGGCUCUGCAGCGGGUGAUCCAUCCAUCCACACAGCAUCAGUGACAGAGGAGAGGCGACGUGUCUGCUCAGUGCUCAAAGAAUACUGAAAAAGGCUAAAAGAACCAGAAGUAACUGCUGUCUUCUGUGAGACUCCCGAACAUAAAAAUUCUUUGAACAUCAACAAAAUAGACUGCUUUGGUUUCUGUCUGUCUGUGAUGAAGCAUUAAAUGAGUCAAACUUAUUUUACAAGCGUGGUGUUGUCAAACGUUUUCUAUCAGAUCAGUAGGAAGUAUUGUGCUGCUCGCAAACAGACAGACUCUAGGCUGUAUAGACUUCAAACACAAGAGCACCACUGACCCUCAGAAGCUGCAUUCAUUUCCAGCCUAAAUGUGUGGAGGAGCGCAGUACCAGUACCAAUUUUCUUAACUUGUCAUUUCUCCAUCAUUCCCAGUCUACAUCAAUGCAUUCAGAAUCUCCUGUCACUCACUCACAACAUUUUAGAGUUUUGGUGCUUUUAAUACGAGCAGGAGGUAUUUUCUUUAAUUAGACAAACUCACAAACAGUCUUUCAUCAAGGCAGAAACUCCUGUCAAAUAUUAAUGUUCCCAUCUUUGUUUUUAGGUCAGUCUAAUGUCUAUGGCUGUCGGCCAUUUUGUUCCGCUAUCUUUCACAGACAGACAAGUGUCACCUAAGAUAGUAAUCAAGCAUUUAACUAAUAGUUCAAUAAAUACAGGCAUUAAUAAAAUAAAGUAUUAGUCUAAAAUAGACUAAAUUACAAUAAAUGUAUAAUUAUUUGAUGUUUAAUAUGUAAUAAAAUGAGGGAUUAAAAAUGAAAAUAACAGUCCACUGAUAAAUAGUUCAAAUUAAAAAUGGAUUUGCAGUUUGAAAUGUUAAUUAUUUUUUAAUUGCAGAAGACAAAUAGCUGGAUUUACAAACUGAAUUAAUAAUAUAGAUUUUAUUAUUUGUGAUGUAUAUUUAUGUAAAGCAGUUAGAAAUACCUUGUGUCUGAAUGGUGCUUCUGCACAUCAGUAGAGUUGCCUCAAGUAAAGUUUUAUUUGUUUAAAGAUACUUGUUAUGAAAAAUUAUUACUUAUGAAUGUAAUACAGAAAACUGGACCUGGAAUGAAUCUAAAACCUUUUUAGUCCAGAGAGUUUACAGGCGCUGCCUUUGCUUGCAACACUAAUUGUCAGAACCGGGUACUGACACUAUAACGAUCUUAUAAAGACGUCUAAGUCAUCGUGUUUUUACAGACAGGUUUGCAUGUUAGCAAACAUGUCUGUUGGAGAGUGUUAGCAUGACACCAUUAUCGUGCUGUGUAAUGUUAACUUGUUAAUACUAGAGUACAGCACAGUUAACUAACAGGCUCCAUGUGUUGUGUGUAAUAAUGUCUUGGUAUGUUAGUAUAUCAGCAUCUCGAAGGUCAUUUCGUGCAGCUACAGUAGUUCAUACACACAGUAUGCAGCUUCAUUUUAGCCUGCACCGAAUGGACUCAGUGUGUUUGUCUCAGUUGUGGUUUAAUGUGUUAUUUAAAUCACUUUAAAGUCAUACUACUUGUGUAAAAACUACUAAAUGUUGUCAGGACUGAACACAUUUGGUUUACCUGUUCGGGGGAUUGGGAGGGUUAUUUGAGAUGUUUGUUCUGAUAGUUGCUUAUUUAAUAAAGUUGUCACUCAUCUAAAUCACAGAAUAUAACAUAACUGUUAACUGUGGCUUUCAAAUAAGUAAAUUAAUUUAAUGCAUUUUUUUCAGUAGCUUAUUAUACUAGCUUUUUCUGUUCUUUCAGAUGCUGUUUUAAUGUCUUUAUGUUUUUGUUUUGAUUAAUUUCUGUUUCUGACUACAU